rnacentral:rRNA from 1 species
UGCAGUAGAACGCUGAAGACUUUAGCUUGCUAAAGUUGGAAGAGUUGCGAACGGGUGAGUAACGCGUAGGUAACCUGCCUACUAGCGGGGGAUAACUAUUGGAAACGAUAGCUAAUACCGCAUAACAGCAUUUAACUCAUGUUAGAUGCUUGAAAGGAGCAAUUGCUUCACUAGUAGAUGGACCUGCGUUGUAUUAGCUAGUUGGUGAGGUAACGGCUCACCAAGGCGACGAUACAUAGCCGACCUGAGAGGGUGAUCGGCCACACUGGGACUGAGACACGGCCCAGACUCCUACGGGAGGCAGCAGUAGGGAAUCUUCGGCAAUGGGGGCAACCCUGACCGA